rnacentral:ncRNA from 1 species
AAACCUCACCCCUGGACACAGACAGGAUUGACAGAUCAAGAGCUCUUUCUCAGUUCCAUGGGUGGUAGUGCCUGGCCACUCGUGGUGGAGUGAUUUGUCUGGUUAAUUCCAAUAAGAAAAAAGGCUCUGGCAUGUUAACUAGUUAUGUGCCCCUCCCAGUGGUCAACGUCCAACUUCUUCAAGGGACACGUAGCAUUCACCAACAUGAGAUAGAGCAACAAGUCAUCUGUGAUGCCCUUUAGUGUAAGAG